GAUGAACGCUGGCGGCGUGCCUAAUACAUGCAAGUCGAGCGAACAGACGAGGAGCUUGCUCCUCUGACGUUAGCGGCGGACGGGUGAGUAACACGUGGAUAACCUACCUAUAAGACUGGGAUAACUUCGGGAAACCGGAGCUAAUACCGGAUAAUAUAUUGAACCGCAUGGUUCAAUAGUGAAAGACGGUUUUGCUGUCACUUAUAGAUGGAUCCGCGCCGCAUUAGCUAGUUGGUAAGGUAACGGCUUACCAAGGCAACGAUCCGUAGCCGACCUGAGAGGGUGAUCGGCCACACUGGAACUGAGACACGGUCCAGACUCCUACGGGAGGCAGCGGUAGGGAAUCUUCCGCAAUGGGCGAAAGCCUGACGGAGCAACGCCGCGUGAGUGAUGAAGGUCUUCGGAUCGUAAAACUCUGUUAUUAGGGAAGAACAAAUGUGUAAGUAACUAUGCACGUCUUGACGGUACCUUAUCAGAAAGCCACGGCUAACUACGUG
rnacentral:rRNA from 1 species